AUGAAACGAACCAAGCUCUGUAGGUUCAUAGUCAGGGUUUUGAUCUUCACGACGCUCCUUCGCACGAUCUCGGUACCUUGGUGUCUCUGGUUCUUCUUUUUUGUUCUCCUCUCUUCAUGA
rnacentral:rRNA from 1 species